GAAGGGGUAAGGUAAAGUGGGUAGGGGGUAGGGGGUAGGGGUAAGGUAGAGUGGGUAGGGGGUAAGGUAGAGUGGGUAGGGGGUAAGGGGUAAGGUAGAGUGGGUAGGGGUAGGGGGUAAGGUAGAGUGGGUAGGGGGUAAGGUAGAGUGGGUAGGGGGUAGGGGGUAAGGUAGAGUGGGUAGGGGGUACGGAAGGGGUAAGGUAAAGUGGGUAGGGGGUAAGGUAGAGUGGGUAGGGGGUAGGGGUAGGGGUUCAUGUAGAGUGGGUAGGGGUAAGGUAGAGUUGGGAGGGGGUAGUGGGUAAGGUAGAGUGGGUAGGGGGUAAGGUAGAGUGGGGAGGGGGUAGGGGGUAAGGUAGAGUGGGUAGAGGGUAAG
ensembl:lncRNA